rnacentral:tRNA from 1 species
CUUCAUGUUGCUUUCCUCUCGCACGUUCAACUAGUUCCUACCACUGGACUUAUACUUCGUCACUCGCCUGACUAAG